rnacentral:lncRNA from 1 species
GUUGUUUUCUUCCCUUCGUAAAGGACCAAUGACAUCGUGGGUGAUGUCUUGACUUGUGCACGGAUUGGAUUUCAUCGAGGCAGAGUUGGGCAAAGUCGACAGCCUCCUUCUCUCUUCCAAAGCCAUCCAAAUCCAGUGGCAGGACAACAGUCAGGAUGCCCAGCGAUGGUCCAGGACACAGAGGAUGGACGACCUUGGCUUCUUCGAUGUCUGACCCAGCUCUAGGGGCUCCACAGUGCCUGCUUCACUCACCUUCAAGGCUCUUGGAACAAACUGUUGGCAUCUGCCCACUCCACUGGGAGAAGUCUUCACACGCCUGUGGUGAGGAAAAUGAGGCCCAAAGAGCUUAAGUAACUCUCAGAGGUCACCUGGGUCACUCAGGAGGGACAUCAUUUAAACCUGGGUCGUCUCGCGCUUCAGAGACAGCAUGUCUGGCAAUGGAACCCUCCAGCCAAGCCAACAAUGAUGAGAAAAUCCAUUUGAGGGCAAGAAGGGGAACUUUAAAAACUGAAGUCAAUGAAAUCACUGAACAGAAAGGCCAAGUGCCUGAGACCCGGUUCUUUCGUCCCUAGUGGCAAAGAUUCUUAGGAGCCCCGUGGUUCAGACAGCACUAAAGUCAAAGAACAUUUCACCUAUGGGAGGGCUCCAGUAGCAACAUCAAGGUAAAGGAAGUGAGCUCUGGGCUCUGAUGUUAUCUCUGAUUUAGGAGAAUUCAAGCAGACUCAGUGUAAACAACCCAAAGCAGCUACUUCAGAGUGGGUUAGGGUUGGUGG